CUAUUUACGUAGCAGGGGAAAUACCAUGAUCAGAAAGGUGGUUUUCUGGGCCAGGCUUAUCCAUUGCACUCCAGAUGUGUUGACCUCUGAUUUUCACAAAUGUGGGAAACUCAACUACAUAAUUUGUGGUAGUGAGGAAUUGUGUUUGAACUCUCCCCU